rnacentral:rRNA from 1 species
GGAGAACUUGAUACUNNUGUGGGUACACCCGGUAACAUCCCGAACCCGGAAGUUAAGCACAUCAGCGCCGAUGGUACUUGGCUGGCGACGGCCUGGGAGAGUAGGUCAUUGCCA